GACGAACGCUGGCGGCGUGCCUAAUACAUGCAAGUUGAGCGCUGAAGGUUGGUACUUGUACCAACUGGAUGAGCAGCGAACGGGUGAGUAACGCGUGGGGAGUCUGCCUUUGAGCGGGGGACAACAUUUGGAAACGAAUGCUAAUACCGCAUAAAAACUUUAAACACAAGUUUUAAGUUUGAAAGAUGCAAUUGCAUCACUCAAAGAUGAUCCCGCGUUGUAUUAGCUAGUUUGUGAGGUAAAGGCUCACCAAGGCGAUGAUACAUAGCCGACCUGAGAGGGUGAUCGGCCACAUUGGGACUGAGACACAGCCCAAACUCAUACGGGAGGCAGCAGUAGGGAAUCUUCGGCAAUGGACGAAAGUCUGACCGAGCAACGCAGCGUGAGUGAAGAAGGUUUUCGGAUCGUAAAACUCUGUUGGUAGAGAAGAACGGUGGUGAGAGUGGAAAGCUCAUCAAGUGACGGUAACUACCCAGAAAGGGACGGCUAACUACGUG
rnacentral:rRNA from 1 species